rnacentral:rRNA from 1 species
GUGGGGAAUAUUGCACAAUGGGCGAAAGCCUGAUGCAGCGACGCCGCGUGAGGGAUGACGGCCUUCGGGUUGUAAACCUCUUUCAGUAGGGAACAAGGCCAGUGUUUAGCUGGUUGAGGGUACUUGCAGAAGAAGCGCCGGCUAACUACGUGCCAGCAGCCGCGGUAAUACGUAGGGCGCAAGCGUUAUCCGGAAUUAUUGGGCGUAAAGAGCUCGUAGGCGGUUUGUCGCGUCUGCCGUGAAAGUCCGGGGCUCAACUCCGGAUCUGCGGUGGGUACGGGCAGACUAGAGUGAUGUAGGGGAGACUGGAAUUCCUGGUGUAGCGGUGAAAUGCGCAGAUAUCAGGAGGAACACCGAUGGCGAAGGCAGGUCUCUGGGCAUUAACUGACGCUGAGGAGCGAAAGCAUGGGAGCGAACAGGAUUAGAAACCCUGGUAGUCC